rnacentral:rRNA from 1 species
UCGCGNCGUUUGCGCAGAAGGGUNUGGGCUCGAGCCUGCCUGGAGCCGCCGCCGGUGCAGAUUUUUGGUGGUAGUAGCAAAUACUCCAGCGAGGCCCUGGAGGACUGAUGUGGAGAAGGGGUUCGUGUGAACAGCCGUUGCACACGAGUCAGUCGAUCCUAAGCCCUAGGAGAAAUCCGAUGCAAACGGCGAUGGGAAACGCAAAAAAUGACUCGUUGUCACGAUGAGACAGAGACCCAUUGAUCGGGCGAAAGGGAAUCCGGUUCCUAUUCCGGAACCCGGCAGCGGAACCGUUGUUUGUCGGGCCCUCGCAAGGGGUUCGUCAGGGCAACCUAAAAGGGCCCGGAGACGCCGUCGGGGGCCCCGGAAAGAGUUUUCUUUUCUGCAUGAGCGUUCGAGUUCCCUGGAAUCCUCUCGCAGGGAGAUAGGGUUUGGAACGCGAAGAGCACCGCAGUUGCGGCGGUGCACGGGAAUUCCCGACGGACCUUGAAAAUCCGGGAGAGGGCCACGUGGAGGUGUCNCGCCGGCUCGUACCCCAUAUGCGCAANNGGUCUCCAAANGUGAAAACCUCCCAGUC